CGAGUUGAUUAGGCAAUUGCGCAUCAUAUUUUUAUAUGGUGUGAGGAAAGUCCGAGCAGCGCAGAGCAGGAUAACGGCUAACGGCCGCCGAGGGUGACCUUAGGGAAAGUGCAACAGAAAUAAACCGCCGCUUUUGCGGUAAGGAUGGAAAGGCGAGGUAAGAGCUCACCGAGCGGAUGGAGACACCCGCUGCCAUGUAAACCCUAUCCGCUGCAACACAGAAUGGAAGGUUGUUUGCUCGACACAUAAUUCCGAAAUGUGGCUGGAGUGCGUCAGCAAUGGCGCAUCGAGAUAGAUAAUUGCCCAAGACAGAACUCGGCUUACAGAUCAGCUCGCAUU
rnacentral:RNase_P_RNA from 1 species